rnacentral:rRNA from 1 species
UACAGAGGGUGCGAGCGUUAAUCGGAAUUACUGGGCGUAAAGCGCGCGUAGGCGGCUUUGCAAGUCGGGUGUGAAAUCCCCAGGCUUAACCUGGGAACUGCAUUCGAGACUGCAUUGCUAGAGUAUGGGAGAGGGAAGUGGAAUUCCACGUGUAGCGGUGAAAUGCGUAGAGAUGUGGAGGAACACCAGUGGCGAAGGCGACUUUCUGGGCUGUAACUGACGCUGAGGCGCGAAAGCGUGGGGAGCAAACAGG